UGAAAACGUGAAUGGAAGGGGGC
rnacentral:piRNA from 1 species